UUAAAUUGAAGAGUUUGAUCAUGGCUCAGAUUGAACGCUGGCGGCAGGCCUAACACAUGCAAGUCGAACGGUAACAGGAAGCAGCUUGCUGCUUUGCUGACGAGUGGCGGACGGGUGAGUAAUGUCUGGGAAACUGCCCGAUGGAGGGGGAUAACUACUGGAAACGGUAGCUAAUACCGCAUAACGUCGCAAGACCAAAGAGGGGGACCUUAGGGCCUCUUGCCAUCGGAUGUGCCCAGAUGGGAUUAGCUAGUAGGUGGGGUAACGGCUCACCUAGGCGACGAUCCCUAGCUGGUCUGAGAGGAUGACCAGCCACACUGGAACUGAGACACGGUCCAGACUCCUACGGGAGGCAGCAGUGGGGAAUAUUGCACAAUGGGCGCAAGCCUGAUGCAGCCAUGCCGCGUGUAUGAAGAAGGCCUUCGGGUUGUAAAGUACUUUCAGCGGGGAGGAAGGGAGUAAAGUUAAUACCUUUGCUCAUUGACGUUACCCGCAGAAGAAGCACCGGCUAACUCCGUGCCAGCAGCCGCGGUAAUACGGAGGGUGCAAGCGUUAAUCGGAAUUACUGGGCGUAAAGCGCACGCAGGCGGUUUGUUAAGUCAGAUGUGAAAUCCCCGGGCUCAACCUGGGAACUGCAUCUGAU
rnacentral:rRNA from 1 species